rnacentral:snRNA from 1 species
AGCUUUGUGCAGUGGUGGUAUCAGAGCCAAUGAGGUUUAUCCAAGGUGCAAUUAUUGCUAAUUGAAGGAAAUACAUUAACAAAACUACACUAAACUGGGUUGGUUUUUGGUGUAUGAAUGUCCAUAGGACUCUAAUCAGU